AACGAACGCUGGCGGCGCGCCUAACACAUGCAAGUCGAACGAGAAUCCGGGGCAACCCGGUAGUAAAGUGGCAAACGGGUGAGGAAUACAUGGGUAACCUACCCUUGAGAAGGGAAUAACCCGCCGAAAGGUGAGCUAAUACCCUAUACGCUAUCUUUUUUCGAAAGGAUAGGAAAGCCGGGUCGAGGACCUGGUACGUCAAGGAGGGGCGUCAUGUCCUAUCAGCUUGUUGGUGGGGUAACGGCCUACCAAGGCUACGACGGGUAGCUGGUCUGAGAGGAUGAUCAGCCACACUGGCACUGAGAUACGGGCCAGACUCCUACGGGAGGCAGCAGUGAGGAAUAUUGCGGCAAUGGGCGAAAGCCUGACGCAGCGACGCCGCGUGGGGAGUGAAGGUUUUCGGAUGUAAACCC
rnacentral:rRNA from 1 species